UGCUAGUGCUCUCAAUGUCAAAGUUAAGAAAUUCAACUAAACGUGGGUAAAUGAAGGGAGUAACUAUGACUUUCUUAAGGUAGCCAGAUGCCUCAUCAUCUAACUAGUGACGCACAUGAAU
rnacentral:ncRNA from 1 species